rnacentral:sRNA from 2 species
UGCAUCUGAAGCCUGACGAGGAUGAGAACCUCCGGGGGCAAGAGGUUCGACUCGAGCGCAGCGAGAGAACGUUGCGUCAGCAACGGCCCGCAGGGCGAGCCAC